rnacentral:misc_RNA from 1 species
AUAUUAUCAAUUAUUCUCCAUAAUUUACAAAACAUAAAUCUCAAUGCACAUCUUUCGUCUUAAUUCGAUAUUAUAUCGUGCUCUAAUACAUACCUAGUAUAUCACAGGAGCUGAUUGGCACAAAAAGUCCUCGACACGUACCGCUUAAGAACCGUCUUUCACAAUUUGAGUUUAUUAAUAAUAUUUAAAAGCGACAAGAAAAGAUGAAGAGUAUCUACAACAAAGAAAUUAGUAUAUACCAUAGACUAACUUAAAUGAAAUAAAUUCGAGCAUAAUAAUCGCGGUGGCAAAACCAAAGAAUGAGACCUACGAUCGCAGAAGAGGAGCGAAACGUUCUGACGGAGUUGCGUGCGCGUUCACUUGGUGUGCACUCGUCUGACGGGAAUUUUAUAGAAUUCCAAGUACGAUUAGGAAACCGUUACAGUUCACCCCGCUCCGUAUCUGUUAUUACUUGUUGCGUGAUUCAACAUUCGCCCCUGAAGAAGUCAUUGUUUUCGUAGUCGAAUUUUCGAGGUUAUAUUCAAGGUAGACUGACCGAGCAAAAGUGAACGCACCAAUCCAGUCGAGUUGAGCAUUGUG